AGUAAACGGCGAGUGAAGCGGGAAGAGCUCAAAUUUGAAAUCUGGUAGCCUUCGGUUGCCCGAGUUGUAAUCUAGAGAAGUGUUUUCCGCGUUGGCCCAUGUACAAGUCCCUUGGAACAGGGCGUCAUAGAGGGUGAGAAUCCCGUCCUUGACAUGGACCCCCAAUGCUUUGUGAUACACUUUCAACGAGUCGAGUUGUUUGGGAAUGCAGCUCAAAAUGGGUGGUGAAUUCCAUCUAAAGCUAAAUAUUGGCGAGAGACCGAUAGCGAACAAGUACCGUGAGGGAAAGAUGAAAAGCACUUUGGAAAGAGAGUUAAACAGUACGUGAAAUUGUUGAAAGGGAAACGAUUGAAGUCAGUCAUGCUCUUUGGAUUAAGCCGUUCUGCGGUGUAUUUCAUUGAGCGGGGUCAACAUCAGUUUUGAUCGCUGGAAAAGGGCAGGAGGAAGGUAGCACUCUCGGGUGAACUUAUAGCCUCUUGUCGUAUACAGUGAUUGGGACUGAGGAACGCAGCAUGCCUUUUGGCCGGGAUUCGUCCACGUACAUGCUU
rnacentral:rRNA from 1 species